GACAGAGGUGCCGAGCGUUAGGCGGAAUCACUGGGCUUAAAGCGUGUGUAGGCGGGCGAUCAAGUACCUUGUGAAAUCCCACGGCUCAACCGUGGAACCGCUGGGUAUACUGGUUGUCUUGAGCCGGCUAGGGGCGAGCGGAACAGACGGUGGAGCGGUGAAAUGCGUAGAUAUCGUCUGGAACGCCGAAGGUGAAAACAGGUUGCUGGGAGUGCGCUGACGCUGAGACACGAAAGCCAGGGGAGCGAAUGGG
rnacentral:rRNA from 1 species